AAAUUAUAAGAAGGCAGCUUGAUCUUUUGACUCUCUGUCAUGAAAUAAAGUUUCAGAAAGGUGAUGAAAUUUAAGCUGGGCUUUAAAGGCUACAUCAAAUUUGACAAAUGGAAUUGUGAGGAAAGCACAUUAGAAGUAAAGAGUGAACCCACAAAAACAAGAGAACAUCAUGUUUCUAGAGGCUGCCUGCAUUCCUUGGCUAAUGACUUUGCAUCACUCUGACGUCUUGCUCCCAUGGUCGUAUCACCUACUACUGGCCCUGAUCUCACUACUUGUUAUAUGGAACAAAGGGAUAAGGAAGUGACUUGCCUAAGUCACUGAGGAACCUAAUAUUGAGAUUAGCACUCAAUGAUUCCUGGCUCUCAGAAUGUGUGCUGCUACCACCAGGCCACACUCUUCCCUCCAGAGAGAAGAUGUGUCAGCACGGAAUUGUGCUGAAGCAAAGAUGUGAAAUAGAAUGAUUACAUAUCUACCUAGUGGGAAGAUCUGGGGAAGAAUCUAUCAGUGCUGGCAGAGAAGCAAACCAUACGACAUCACUCAUCCCCAGAAAGUGAAGUUAAGGGAAAUAAAAAACAAUCUACACCAUUUAGAAAACACAGCCACCCCAUACCCUUGGAAAAAAUACACUAAAAUAUCUUCAUCUGAUUUGACCUCUAAUAACAUGAAUAAUUGUCUUAUAACUCACUUUCUUACCUCUUGAUUAUUCUACAGAUCCGGCACAUAUGAGCAAAAUCUGAUGAAAUUCACUCAUUUAAUUUGAAGAUUUUAAUUAUGUAGAAAAAGUAGGUUCGCAUUCUUUCUUAUUAAUAGAGUUCAAAAGACUUAAGGCCUAGAGUCUAGCUUCAGCUAUUAAAAUUAUACAUCAGCAUGUGUUUCUCCUUUAUUAAGCAAUGAUUCGUUAUACCUUUCCCCUUAGAGGACACCCACACUUCUUUAAAAAUAAGUUGGGCGAACAUCGACUGUGAAUGUGUUUUUGUUUUCCUAAUAUAAUAUCAGUGGGAGUUGUACACACAGAUCAGGAGCUGUA
rnacentral:lncRNA from 10 species